rfam:Myotis davidii contig211151, whole genome shotgun sequence.
GGCAGUUCUCAGGUGAUGUGGCCUGGAAUCAGGUUCCCUCCUCUCUGGUUCUGGGUGCCUCACCCAAGAACUGCA